rnacentral:tRNA from 1 species
GGUUCCGUAGCUCAGUCGGUCAGAGCAGGUGACUCAUAAUCUCUUGGCCGCAGGUUCAAGUCCUGCCGGAACCA